CCAACGUGCGCCGUAUUUCGUCGCGCCCACGAGGGAACACUCUAGACUGACGUCGUUUCGGAUGUGUGUCACGGAGGUUCUGGCCGGGACCACCAGAAUGUAACUGUUUUUAUGAAGAUCCAUGAUGCUGACCUUGACAAAGCCUUCCUCCGCGAGUCGGCGAUAAGACGGCUCAUUUCUGUAAACCCUUCCAGGGUUGUUAAAGAGUGAGAGGCGACGUGGCCCUGGGCUUCCAUCUGACUGCCUAACUGCCUUCACUAAUCACGCUGAGAUCAAGCGGAUAAAAAGACCCUCCAAGGUCGGAAGUGUUGGCUAGUACUUCUCAUUUUGGAAUAUUCUGGUCAGCAAUCCAUAAAACCUGGCUUGAGACUCUCCUCCUGCAGGAAGGCCUCCUGGAUUCCUGCCCUAACCUUCAGGUGAGUUCAUCUUUUCUGUCAGCGCUUAUGCAGUCAGCCUGGUUGUCGUUUUGCGCUCAUAGAGAACUCCCUUUGUAACUCGUUUUGGAGGC